AGAUUGAACGCUAGCGGGAUGCUUUACACAUGCAAGUCGAACGGCAGCGCGGACUUCGGUCUGGCGGCGAGUGGCGAACGGGUGAGUAAUAUAUCGGAACGUGCCCAGUAGCGGGGGAUAGCUACGCGAAAGCGUGGCUAAUACCGCAUACGCCCUACGGGGGAAAGGGGGGGAUCGCAAGACCUCUCACUAUUGGAGCGGCCGAUAUCAGAUUAGCUAGUUGGUGAGGUAAAGGCUCACCAAGGCGACGAUCUGUAGCUGGUUUGAGAGGACGACCAGCCACACUGGGACUGAGACACGGCCCAGACUCCUACGGGAGGCAGCAGUGGGAAUUUGGACAAUGGGGGAAACCUGAUCCAGCCAUCCCGCGUGUGCGAUGAAGGCCUGGUUGUAAAGCACUUUGCGAGGAAGAAACGGCGUACCUAAGUACGGCGUCACUGACGUACUGCAGAAUAAGACACCGACUAACUACGU
rnacentral:rRNA from 1 species